rnacentral:rRNA from 1 species
GACGAACGCUGGCGGCGUGCCUAACACAUGCAAGUCGAACGGAGGCGGGAGUUAGGAUUGAGGGAACAAAAAAUUGCGCCCUGAAUCCUGAUUCCUUGCCUAAGUGGCGGACGGGUGAGUAACGCGUGAGUAACCUGCCUUUUUGAGGGGGAUAACAUCGGGAAACCGAUGCUAAUACCGCAUAAAAUAUGAAAUUCGCAUGAGUUUUAUAUCAAAGGAGCGAUCCGCAAAAAGAUGGACUCGCGUCCGAUUAGCCAGUUGGCGGGGUAAAGGCCCACCAAAGCAACGAUCGGUAGCCGGGUUGAGAGACUGAACGGCCACAUUGGGACUGAGACACGGCCCAGACUCCUACGGGAGGCAGCAGUGGGGGAUAUUGCACAAUGGGGGAAACCCUGAUGCAGCAACGCCGCGUGAGGGAAGAAGGUUUUCGGAUUGUAAACCUCUGUCCAAAGGGAAGAAAAAGAUGACGGUAC